rnacentral:rRNA from 1 species
AUGCUCAAAACCAGAGUGCUCGGGCUUGCGGCAAUUGAGAGGGCUAGAAUAUGGCAAGCCUCUCGGGUGCUAUGGAUUAAGGCUGGAGAUGCCAGCACAAAGUUCUUCCAUGCAAAGUGCAGUAACAGAAGGAGGAAAAACUAUAUACGUUCUCUGCAAACUAAGGGAGGGGAGGUCUUAUCCCAGCAUCAGGAGAAAGCUCAAGAGAUUUUCAGGCACUUUUCAAAUCAGUUGGGCACAAGGAAGAAUAGGCCCCUCACAAUCAACUGGGAACAGCUUCAGUUACCUCAAGUGACAGAUGUGGGUUUAGAUAACCCGUUCUCAGAGGGAGAGGUGUGGGCGGCUGUUGUGAGCUCUCCGGCAGAAAAAGCCCCAGCCCGGAUGGAUUCACUGGCCAGUUCUUUCGUUCGUGUUGGAGCAUCAUUAAGGACGACAUCAUGGCUUUUUUCUCCAAGUUCUACAGGGCGAUUAACACAAAUUUUUCUGAUCUGA